UACGUAGGGUGCGAGCGUUACUCGGAAUUACUGGGCGUAAAGCGUGCGCAGGCGGUUUUGUAAGCCAGAUGUGAAAUCCCCGGGCUUAACCUGGGAAUGGCAUUUGGGACUGCAAGGCUGGAGUGCGGCAGAGGAGACUGGAAUUCCUGGUGUAGCAGUGAAAUGCGUAGAUAUCAGGAGGAACACCGAUGGCGAAGGCAGGUCUCUGGGCUGACACUGACGCUCAUGCACGAAAGCGUGGGGAGCAAACAGG
rnacentral:rRNA from 1 species